GAGAGAUUCUUUAUGAAUUGUACGAACCUUCGACCAGCAAAAAAUUUCGUGAAGAAAUUCGUGACUUUAUGUAUCAAUCAAUUCAAAAUCGUUUAAAGUUUACCGUCUGCGGAUUUUAUGAUUUAGAUCAUACUUUAAUAUAUAAUAUGAUUGGUUCGAUUAUUACUUAUCUCGUCAUAUUUCUUCAAAUUGGAGAUAAGCCUAAAUCAUUGUUCAAUAAUGCUAUUCAUAAUUCAACCUCAAUGAUGUAAUGAAUGAAUUGGAAUGUUUCAUUUUUCGACAAAUAU